rnacentral:rRNA from 1 species
AUUGAACGCUGGCGGCAUGCCUUACACAUGCAAGUCGAACGGCAGCACGGGUGCUUGCACCUGGUGGCGAGUGGCGAACGGGUGAGUAAUACAUCGGAACAUGUCCUGUAGUGGGGGAUAGCCCGGCGAAAGCCGGAUUGAUACCGCAUACGAUCUACGGAUGAAAGCGGGGGACCUUCGGGCCUCGCGCUAUAGGGUUGGCCGAUGGCUGAUUAGCUAGUUGGUGGGGUAAAGGCCUACCAAGGCGACGAUCAGUAGCUGGUCUGAGAGGACGACCAGCCACACUGGGACUGAGACACGGCCCAGACUCCUACGGGAGGCAGCAGUGGGGAAUUUUGGACAAUGGGCGAAAGCCUGAUCCAGCAAUGCCGCGUGUGUGAAGAAGGCCUUCGGGUUGUAAAGCACUUUUGUCCGGAAAGAAAUCCUUGGCCCUAAUACGGUCGGGGGAUGACGGUACCGGAAGAAUAAGCACCGGCUAACUACGUG